CGUAGGCGGUGCGGUAAGUCACCUGUGAAACCUCCGGGCUUAACUCGGAGCCUGCAGGCGAAACUGCCGUGCUCGAGUGUGGGAGAGGUGCGUGGAAUUCCCGGCGUAGCGGUGAAAUGCGUAGAUAUCGGGAGGAACACCUGUGGCGAAAGCGGCGCACUGGACCACAACUGACGCUGAGGCGCGAAAGCUAGGGGAGCAAACAGGAUUAGAUACCCUGGUAGUCCUAGCCCUAAACCAUGAUUGCUUGGUGUAGCAGGUACCCAAUCCUGCUGUGCCGCAGCUAACGCGAUAAGCAAUCCGCCUGGGGAGUACGGUCGCAAGGCUGAA
rnacentral:rRNA from 1 species